rnacentral:rRNA from 1 species
CAUUUGCUGACGAGCGGCGGACGGGUGAGUAAUGCUUGGGAACAUGCCUUGAGGUGGGGGACAACAGUUGGAAACGACUGCUAAUACCGCAUAAUGUCUACGGACCAAAGGGGGCUUCGGCUCUCGCCUUUAGAUUGGCCCAAGUGGGAUUAGCUAGUUGGUGAGGUAAUGGCUCACCAAGGCGACGAUCCCUAGCUGGUUUGAGAGGAUGAUCAGCCACACUGGGACUGAGACACGGCCCAGACUCCUACGGGAGGCAGCAGUGGGGAAUAUUGCACAAUGGGCGCAAGCCUGAUGCAGCCAUGCCGCGUGUGUGAAGAAGGCCUUCGGGUUGUAAAGCACUUUCAGUCAGGAGGAAAGGUUAAUGGUUAAUACCCGUUAGCUGUGACGUUACUGACAGAAGAAGCACCGGCUAACUCCGUGCCAGCAGCCGCGGUAAUACGGAGGGUGCGAGCGUUAAUCGGAAUUACUGGGCGUAAAGCGUACGCAGGCGGUUUGUUAAGCGAGAUGUGAAAGCCCCGGGCUCAACCUGGGAACUGCAUUUCGAACUGGCAAACUAGAGUGUGAUAGAGGGUGGUAGAAUUUCAGGUGUAGCGGUGAAAUGCGUAGAGAUCUGAAGGAAUACCGAUGGCGAAGGCAGCCACCUGGGUCAACACUGACGCUCAUGUACGAAAGCGUGGGGAGCAAACGGGAUUAGAUACCCCGGUAGUCCACGCCGUAAACGAUGUCUACUAGAAGCUCGGAGCCUCGGUUCUGUUUUUCAAAGCUAACGCAUUAAGUAGACCGCCUGGGGAGUACGGCCGCAAGGUUAAAACUCAAAUGAAUUGACGGGGGCCCGCACAAGCGGUGGAGCAUGUGGUUUAAUUCGAUGCAACGCGAAGAACCUUACCUACACUUGACAUACAGAGAACUUACCAGAG